GCAGGACGGCACCGGCAGAUGCGCUGAUGUCUGCCCACUGCAAAGACCCCUUCUACCUGUGGCUGGCAGAUGCACGGGUGUUAGUGUGAAGUCCCAAUAAGAGAAUGAGUGAAAGAGACAUACAAAGCUUGAGAAAAUGGGUUUUAGUGCUCACUCUCUGCCUUACCAUGCUAUGGGGAAGACUGACACUGGCCUCCACCCACCACAGAAGCCAUUCAGUGCACAUCGAGCCCGGCACCUGCGAGGUCAUCGCGGCUCACAGGUGCUGCAAUAAGAACAAGAUUGAAGAGCGCUCCCAGACAGUGAAGUGCUCCUGCUUCCCGGGGCAAGUGGCAGGGACAACACGGGCAGCUCCCUCCUGCGUGGACGCCUCCAUUGUGCUGCAGAAGUGGUGGUGCCAGAUGGAGCCCUGCCUUGACGGGGAGGAGUGCAAGGUCCUGCCCGACUUCUCAGGCUGGAGCUGCAGCAGCGGCAACAAAGUGAAGACGACCAAGGUCACCCGAUAGCACCCCCGCAGGGGUCUCUGCUGCAUGGCCUGUGCCAUGCCACUGCUGUCCUGAAGCCAGGUGCGGCGUGCUGUGGUGCUUCCGUCCUGCAUCCCGCGCCACCAUCAGACCAUGCCAGCAGGAAGAGAGAAGUAACCUCUGCCACCUCCAUCCCACUGCUGCCAUUCAGUUUGCUCCUGCCAGGCCAUUUGGUUUAUUGCUGCUUUUACAAUGGAUUCAAACAAGGACAAGAAAAAGUUUUGUCUUUUACAGAAGCCACAAGAUUUUUGCUAGAAUCACCGCAGCUACAGAAAAGAGUCACCAUGCAGCUCCAGUGCCACGUUUAGGAAUGUAGGAAACCAGCUGGCAUAUCAGACCCAGAGCAGCCUUGUCCUGCUUCCAGGGGAAGGUACAUGCAGCGGCGUUGGCAGUGGUGCGUGUUUGCACAUGUACCUGAGGUUUAAUAUUUGGAGGUUUGCUAGCAUCUCUUGCUAAGAAACUGGGUAUGUUUUUCCCUCUGUCAUGCCCAGGAGCAGCCCUGUCUGAGUGAGGC